GUUUCUAUCUAUGAAGUACUUUCUUCCAGUACGAAAGGAUCGAAGAAAAAAGGCCCAUGCUUAAAGUAAGCCUUCUCCCCAUCUGAUGAAGACAACUCAACCAGGACAAAAGCUACCUCCCCUCCCCAUCCCGCAGAUAACGGCU
rnacentral:rRNA from 1 species